AGAGUGCAUUUGGUGCUCAAAUAACUUGCAAGAUGACAUACGAAUGGCUGUGCAGGUGUGCCUCGGUAAUCCUGUGAAAGGAGAGCUUAAUCAAGAGGAAGAGAGUGUCUGGCAGACUGAGAACAGCUCUCCUUUAAUGAGACACCUUUCUGAAGUAAUCAAGUUUGAAGCACUUCUCUUCUUAUCAUUUCAGGGACUGUUUGCUGUAAGCAACUGCGACUGCCUCCCAGCUGCCCAGAGAAUUCAUCUCC